GGGACUGUUGUGGGGUGGCAGGGGGGGAGGGAUAGCAGUGGGAGAUAUACGUAAUGCUAGAUGACAAGUUAGUGGGUGCAGCACACCAGCAUGGCACAUGUAUAUGUAUGUAACUAACCUGCACAAUGUGCACAUGUACCCUAAAACUUAAAGUAUAAUAAUAAAUAAAUAAAUAAAUAAAAAAUUACCUAAAAAAAAAGUACCAAUUCAUCAAGAAAACAUAAAACAUGAUCCUAAGUGUGUAUGCACCUAAAUACACGACUUCUAAAUACACUAAACAAAAACCGAGAGAAUUGAAAGAAGGAAAAAAAUCCACAAUUACAGUUGGAAAUUUCAAAACUCCUCUCUCAGGAAUAAAUAGAACAAGAAGGCAACAUCUAAUAAGGAGAUAGUCUUGAGCAACACUAUCAAUCAACUUGCCCAAUGGACAUUUAUAGAAGACUUUACCCAACAACUGCAGUAUACAGGUUUUCUUCAAGUACACAUGAAACAUUUGUCAAGAGAAGCCAUAUGGUCAGAUGGAUAAUGUGCUGAUGUCAUAACAAGAUUCAGAGGGUGGCACAUCUCACACAUGAGCAUGAACACCCAAUCAUCAUGUUCAUGAACUGCAAAAGGAUCUGCAGGUAUCUUUUUGAAAGAAUCAUUUCUUUUCCUUUAGGUAGAUACCCAAUAAUGGGAAUUGCUGGGUCGUAUAGUAGAUUGAUCUAUUUUUAGUUCUUUGAGAAAUCUUCAUAUUGUUUUCCAU
rnacentral:lncRNA from 10 species